UGUGUCUGGGCCUGGCUUCUCCGGCAUGCAGCUUGUAGUGUCGAAGGCCAUUUGGGCGCAGGCACCCGGGCAGUGGGCCUAAGGAGAAGUGCCAGGCUCCGGUAAUGAGAAACUGUCAGCCUGCCGCUCAGUUUUCAGUCAUUUAAGAAUGACCUUGAUAGAUGAUUUGGUCUAAGAGUCACUUGAGCAGUGAAGGGUUCAAACAGCACCCGGAAAGGCUCUGCAUGUGUUGCCUCUGAACUUGGAACUUGUCCAGGACUUCCUUGCAGUUUUCUUCACUUUUCAUUUCUCUGCCACCCUGGUCCCAUGUGCUGUCUUCCGUGAAUCCCUCCAUCUCUAGCCCAUUGAUGUGGCAUCCCACUCUUCUUGAACAGUUACCCGAGGCCAACCACUGUCCGCAAGCAGAUGACCCUCCUUAGGUCAACAGUAGCCUAACGCUGUGUCACAUGGCUACGUCCUUC